rnacentral:tRNA from 1 species
GGCCCCAUGGUCUAGUGGUAAGGACGCCGCCCUCUCACGGCGGUAGCGGGGGUUCGACUCCCCCUGGGGCUACCA